rnacentral:ncRNA from 2 species
AAUAGUUUGCGGGGGAACCAUUUUGGUUGAGAAGGUAAAACCUGACCCUUAGAACCUGAUGUAGUUAAUACUACCGUAGGGAAGCAAGCUUUUGAUUAUA